CAGGGAAUAUUAGUAAUGGGCGAAAGCCUGAACUAGCAACGCCGCGUGUGCGAAGAAGGCCUUCGGGUUGUAAGCACUUUUUGAGAGGAUGAGGAAGGACGGUACUCUCAGAAUAAGUCUCGGCUAACUACGUGCCAGCAGCCGCGGUAACACGUAGGAGGCGAACGUUAUCCGGAUUUACUGGGCGUAUAGCGCGUGUAGGUGGUUUGGUAAGUAGGGCGUGAAAGCUCCUGGCUCAACUGGGAGAGGCCGUUCUAAACUGCCGAACUAGAGGAUGGUAGAGGGAGGUGGAAUUCCGGGUGUAGCGGUGGAAUGCGCAGAUAUCCGGAGGAACACCAGUGGCGAAAGCGGCCUCCUGGACCAUUCCUGACACUCAGACGCGAAAGCUAGGGUAGCAAACGG
rnacentral:rRNA from 1 species